GAUGAAGAACGCAGCGAAAUGCGAUAAGUAAUGUGAAUUGCAGAAUUCAGUGAAUCAUCGAAUCUUUGAACGCACAUUGCGCCCAUUAGUAUUCUAGUGGGCAUGCCUGUUCGAGCGUCAUUUCAACCCUUAAGCCUCUGUUGCUUAGCGUUGGGAGCCUACCUACCCGGUAGAUCCUCAAAGUUAGCUGGCAGGGUCGAGGUUCGCCCUAAGCGUAGUAGUUCUUUCUCGCUUCUGCGGCUGCCUAGGCCAUCGACACAAGCCUUUUAAACUUCAAUGGUUGACCUCGGAUCAGGUAGGAAUACCCGCUGAACUUAAGCAUAUCAAUAAGCGGAGGA
rnacentral:misc_RNA from 1 species